CAAUUUGCCUUGAUGGCCCUUGAGUUGAUUCACGGAAGUUGCGAGUUGAGACACUUGACGAGCCAACCCCUCAAUCUGCACCUUCUGCUCGGCUUGGGAUUGUUGGAGUUGUUGUACAUUAUUCUGCAAAAAUUGUUGAUUACCAAUCAAGUCCGCCAUCAUCUCCUCGAGUGACUUGCCUUGCUUUUCCGGAACAGAUUGGUGAACUUGUGGUGCUUGGUACCCCGUCCUUUGAUGUGGGGGACGGUAGUU
rnacentral:lncRNA from 1 species